rnacentral:rRNA from 1 species
GGAUUCCCCUAGUAACUGCGAGUGAAGCGGGAAAAGCUCAAAUUUAAAAUCUGGCGGUCUUUGGCCGUCCGAGUUGUAGUCUGGAGAAGUGCUUUCCGCGCUGGACCGUGUAUAAGUCUCUUGGAACAGAGCGUCAUAGAGGGUGAGAAUCCCGUCUUUGACACGGACUACCAGUGCUUUGUGAUGCGCUCUCAAAGAGUCGAGUUGUUUGGGAAUGCAGCUCAAAAUGGGUGGUGAAUUCCAUCUAAAGCUAAAUAUUGGCGAGAGACCGAUAGCGAACAAGUACCGUGAGGGAAAGAUGAAAAGCACUUUGGAAAGAGAGUUAAACAGUACGUGAAAUUGCUGAAAGGGAAACGCUUGAAGUCAGUCGCGUUGUCCGGAACUCAGCCUUGCUUUUGCUUGGUGCACUUUCCGGAUGACGGGUCAGCAUCGAUUUUGACCGUCGGAAAAGGGCUGGAGUAAUGUGGCACCUCCGGGUGUGUUAUAGACUCUGGUCGCAUACGGCGGUUGGGAUCGAGGAACGCAGCGCGCCGCAAGGCAGGGGUUCGCCCACUUUCGCGCUUAGGAUGCUGGCAUAAUGGCUUUAAACGACCCGUCUUGAAACACGGACCAAGGAGUCUAACAUACCUGCGAGUGUUUGGGUGGAAAACCCGAGCGCGUAAUGAAAGUGAAAGUUGAGAUCCCUGUCGUGGGGAGCAUCGACGCCCGGACCAGACGUUCUCUGACGGAUCCGCGGUAGAGCAUGUAUGUUGGGACCCGAAAGAUGGUGAACUAUGCCUGAAUAGGGUGAAGCCAGAGGAAACUCUGGUGGAGGCUCGUAGCGAUUCUGACGUGCAAAUCGAUCGUCAAAUUUGGGUAUAGGGGCGAAAGACUAAUCGAA